UUCAAACAAAGCAGAGCGAUGCCCGGUUCCAUCAGAGGAGAUCUGUAGACUGUGUUCACCCUGUUCACCUGUCUGGGCCCUGGCUUAGAAGGUUUGCUUGGCAUUUAUUUAGGGGGUGGGGCAGGGUGAUCCCGGGGGGUUGUCAGUUUCCUCUCUGAGACCUCAUGGUUUAGGGGCUGUUCCUCAUACGGGAACACGAUUUCCUGAAAGGUAUGGGCGGGUGGGGGGGGGGAAUCUCAGAGCUUCUGUUUUCCUCGGCAGCCACCAGCGGGCGACAACCCACAGACCCCAGAGGCUUCCGGGGUCUGUUCCCAUCCCUAACGCCACACUGCCCCCUGUUGGUCCUGGCUCACUGCAUUUUUCCAUCCGGCUGAUUUUCUAGGCUCAGCAACUCACAAUUGCCCCUGGGGGCAAUUUUGGGAAGACACUAAAUGCUUCGGGGUUUCUUGGACAAGGGCUAUCUGGAUGGACAUGAGGCUUCCAUCCUAGGAUACACACGGUCGGCUUACAGAGCAAGAGAAAGGAAGGACAAGGCUCAGUUCUAGAGGCCGGAUGUGCAAGAGCAAAGUAUCAGCAAGGUUCAGUUCUGGUGCGCCUCUUCCGGGUUGCUGAGGGCUGUCUUCUCAUUACAUCCUCCCUCGGCAGAAAGAGGGCGAGAGAGCUCUCUGGGGUCCCUUUGAUAAGGGAGCUUCCCAUUCAUGUGGCUCCAUCCUCAUGAUCUAAUCACCUCCCAAAGACCCCACCCACCUCCUAAUACCAUCACAUUUGGGGUUAAGAUUUCAACAUAGGAAUUUGUGUGUGGGGUGGCACAAAUAUUCAGUUCAUUGCAUGAAAGAUUUCUGCAAACUACGAAGUGGGAUGCAUAACGCUGGUUCUUGGAGCAGCAGUAAUGACACAGGGCUGUACUGGGACUGCCCCCGCCCCCACCCCCACUCUACUGGCAUGAAACAAAAAUGAAGAGGGAGUUUGUUUGACACAUUCUAAUUCUUUGGAGGCAGGGUCAGGCUAAUCCUGGGGUCAGGUCCUAGGUGCUGAGCCUCACUGGUGGACAGUAUCUGGGGCCAAAAGCAGGGACAAUGUGUUGAGCCAGAAAAGCUGAACUUGUGGCUAGAUUCAAAGUGUAACUUUCCAGGGACAAAGGGAACUGGGUGAGAGCAGGGACAGAGUGAGGUGGCAGCCAGGCAGGAGAGGCCAGGAUGGCCGAGGAUGACUAGGACAGGGCUCUGGAGCUCCUCAACCUGGGGGUGGCUGUCCCCACAUGGGGUGAAGGUCAGAGUGCAUUGAAGGAACAUCGCCAAGACCCUUUCUGUGACAAAGGGCAGAAACCCAACUCAAACUGGUUCAAAGAGACAGGGAAUUGAUUAGCUCACAUAAGGAGAAUCAGAUGUGGCUUGAUCCACGGGGGACCAGUUAGACUCAUCAGGAGCCAAUCUCUUUCUUCCCAUCUCUGGGCUCUGCUUCCUAUGACUCCACUCUCAGCAGCUUCCCUCACAGUGGUGAGAUGGUGGUUGCCAUGACAGAUUCACAUCCUGCUGGCUUUCCUUCCAGCAGAGAGACAGAGUCCCCAGGGGAGACAUCACUUUCCAGUGCUCCCUUUCGAGUCUGGACAUCUAUGCUGCUUGCAUCUGCCUGGUCGUGUAGUCACUGGGGUCAGGGGGUUGGGAGGUCACCACUGGCCAGUUCAGAGCCAUGCACCCACCUUCCACGUAUCAUCGUGGUCAUGGGGCAUUCAGGCUACCCAGCCCAGGAUGGAUCGACAGGGUUGAGGCUCCCCAAGAGGAAAUAGCAUGCUUUACUGAAAGGAGUGAUGACGGAUGCUGGGAGUCCAAGACCAGCAUGCACCUACCCCAGGAGCCAUGUCUGAGUUCUUGAGAUAAGUACUAGGGUGCCAGGCCCCAGAGGCACCUGCAGGGGCCACACAGGGAGGCGCCUUUUCCACUCAGAAGGGCCCAAAGAAGUAUAGGGCACCACCUGGGCAUUCCCUGUGGGCAGUGGUCUCCAGCUAGUGUCACCAGCGUGUAGACUUGGCUGGUUAGCCAGGUGUCUUCUGAAGCUUAGUCUCAGGGGAGGACUGAAUCCUGCAGCCCCAACCAUGAUCAUGACACAGGGACUUUGAGCCUGGACACUGAGCACUGUGAGGGCAGGAGCCAGGUGUAUUCUUGUCUGUCAAGCUCAGAGUAGAGACUCAGUGAGGGAAAGAAGGAAGAAAGAAAUGAAUGAAUGAAUGUAUGAUGCUGUUUCCAAAAGCACUCAGGGACAAGACAACACUCAGUAAGAACUGAGUACAAAUCUCUCUCUACCCAGAAUCUUAGGGUGGCCAGACAUGUCGUCAGGUCACCUCUCUGAACUGUCACCCUACCCUGAGCACUGGCACCACCUCUCCCCUGGGGAUAGGAGUGACAUGUUGUCCUCUCCAAAACUGCAUGCCCCUCCCUCUCCAGCCCACACUUUCUUUCCCCCAACAUUUGUCUCUAUUCCAUAGCGCAUACUUUCACUGUUCCUUUCUUUUUUUUUUUUUUUUUGUUAGAAAGUAAGCUUUGAUCUUUAUUUCUUUAUUGGCUUCUUGUCUACCAUCGCCAUCAGAAGGGUGGGGACUUUGUUUGGUUCACCAUACACCCCGAGGGUCUAGAACAGUGCCUGGCUCAUAGCAGGUGCUCGGUCAUUUGCUUAUCGAAUGAACAAGUACAUGAGCUUCAGUUUCAUUUUCUAAAAACUGGAGGCUUGUUUCUCUGGCGUUCUGGUCUAGAGCCCUAGCCUGGUUAGGUGGCCCUCCUCAGCCCCUGCCCGUUUCAGGCUUCUCACUGUCACGCAGUUACAACCCGUUGUCUUCACCUGAUCAUUUGCCUCCCCCACCCCCCACAAGACAGAAAGUAGGUGCCCUGCCUGGUUGUGCUUGGGGCUGGGGAGGGGCUGACAGAGGUCAGCUGUCCAGAGGAUGGAAAGCUGGAAUGGAAAGUGCUUGCAAACCCUCAGGGCAGUGCGGUGCAGAUGCCCGUUGCCGUGGUAGUUAAUAUUAUUUGUGCUGCCUGCGGAAGAGGCCGCAGCAGCUGCCUUGUAUCGAUAUUAAUCGUGGGGCCAUCUCUGCUGCCUGGUAAGGCCGGCACCCUGCAGGAGCCUGAGCUGCUGGAAGCCAAAUGGAAAAUCCCCAGCAAUGGGAGGCUUUGGAGACCAUGGGUAGCAGGCAGCUAAAUAAACAGGCAGCCUCACCAGAAUCACUAAGGGGCCCAUCCUGGUCCUGGCAACCUGUCUCUCCCCUUCCUCUUUUCCUCCUCCACCCCAAAGGCUCAGGCAGCUCUGGGGAGCGAUGCAGGGCCUGGCCACUCCAGCAGGCGCUGAAGGAAGGCUGCGGUGUUCAUACCCACCCCCCUCAUUAGUUCACUGAUUGAAAGCCUGACACCCCUAUCCCUGGGCUGGGCCCUGGGAAACGCACAGGGGUGAGCCAGAGGAGGAAUUAGCCCUUCAAGGGUACACAGCUAAUGGGGGGCCGGCUCAUCCCCAGGAGGGGGAAACACCCCACUAGCCACAAGGUAACUGUCUCCUGGACUGAAGGGAAGAGCUGUGUUUGUUGGAACCUUUGUUUCUUCACAGGCCCCACAUUACAGACGGACAUUCUGCUCCAGGAAAUCUGCACCGUACCCUUACAAUACCAGGGCUGACUGGGAACGGGCACAUUGCGUGAGAAUGUACAUGUUUGGUGUUUAGAACCCUGAUUGGUAAAACCAAAAAUUCAAUUAAAUGCUACAGUGGGGGGUGGGGCAGGAAACUAGGGACAUGUUGUGGCCUGGGCUGGAUAGGCUGUGGCUUCCUGAGACAUAAAUUCAGCAGCAUUGGACCAGGGAUGCCUCCUUUUCUUGAAAAACCUUGCUGCUAGCCAUUUUUGCUGUUUCAGAAUGAUGCUUAUCAGUCUUAAGGAUGCAGUCCAUUGGGCAUGUGAAAGCCUCUGCCAUCUUUGCAAGGCACACAACUGGGAGGGAAACCCCAGGUUAUCAGCCAUGCUGGUGCAGAGUGCAGGUGCCAUCCAGCGAGCUAGGGAAGAUGCCAAAGGGGCAGGUGCAAGAGGCAAAAUCAAGAGCCCCUUGCCAGUUUUCUUGCUGCCUCCCUGCUCCAGAAACUGCAGCUCUCUUUACUCGAGAACCAGCCCUGCUUCCCUGUGGCCAAUGGAGGCCCAUGGUCCACCAUGGCACCCACCCUGACAUUCAAGGCCCCUUCCAGCUGCUGUAUCCCCUCAUCAGCCACAGCUCCACUGCUGCCUUGACCUUCAUCCAGCCUGGCCUUCUAGCCCGACCCCCAUACCCCCUCUACUGUGCACCUGCUUCUGCAGAUUCCAUACCAAGUUGAGUCUUGCCUUCUCCAGGCAGUCCUCAGUGAUCUCUUUAAUUGCUGCCUACAAAGUCCAUGCACCACUUGACAUUAUGAAACACCUUCUUUUUCCGGCUGCAUCCCCUCCCUUGGCUCCCUGAUUGGUUGGGCUGUUGGCAGGCUGGGAACAGCCAGGCCCUGGUCUCUCCUCACCCAGCAGGCCAGCCCUUGCUUACACCCUCAGGGUUCCAAAGUCCAAACAGAAAAAGGCAUCUUGAGGCCUAAGCCCAGAACUGACCCAGAGUCAGGUUUCCAGUCCCGGUUCACUUGCUACCUGGCCUUGGGCAAGAAACCUCUGUGUGCCUCAGACUCCUCAUUUGUAAAAUGAGGAUUAAGUGAGUUAAUAUGUGUGUAAAGAGCUCAGAGCUGCUUCAAACACCUACUAAGGGCUAUGUGAACGUUUGUUAUUAUCCGUGAACUAAUAAAGAAAAUGAUACGUUCCAUGUUCCUGGUAGUGUUGAAAUGUACGGGGCUGAUCAUUCAGGUAUCAUUCACUCAUUCACAGAAUAUCGGGUGUUUGCUAUGAGCCGCACACCGUGCUGGAUGGUGGGCAUAACAUGUGGAAUAAGAUACACUUUGCUCUUAGAUGGCUCAGAGGAUUGGGCAAACUGAAUGUAGCUUCUGUGACUUGAUUUGAUCAGGAGGUGAUAGGGAGGAGGGGCCCCGCUCUGCCUCAGUGGGGCAGGAAAAGCAUCAGAAUGGAGGUAAUGCUGGGGCUGAGCCUUUUAAAGCUGAGUAGACCGUCUGCUUUAUAUAAGGCACAGAUGAGAACCACACACACAGGAGUUUAUGUUUACUUCUUUUCUCUUUUCAAUGAUCAUAAUAGAAAAUGACAAUAGCAACAACACUAACAAAGUGAGAAGAUUUCACAGCUACAUUUUUACAUAAGGUUAGAUAUCUUUAAUCAAAAGAACGCAUUGAAAUCCUACAUUAAGAAAGAGUCUUCACUGUAGAAAAGUCAGUGAUCGCAUGGUGAAACCAGGCGUUGGUAACCAAGGAUUCCAAGAGUAGUUAAAAUAGCUUUUUAUGAAGUCAACUGCUUACAUUUACAGGGUGGAUCAUGAAAACACCAGUAAGACACAGAAACAUUUCCGAUGCUCUCGGCAUGAAGAACUGGUAUCUGAAGAGCAGCAAGUUACAAGAAUAGGUUUCUUCAAAAGUUUAAAUAGUAUAAAUAAUAUUAGUAUGCCUUCAACUGGCGGAAAUAGGACCGGGCAGGUGGACAAGGGUCGGGAACAAGAGAAGACACAGAUUUGCUCACAAGUUGCUACCCAGUACUCCCACACCCACUCCAAUCCUAAGCUUUUCCCUAAAGGUGCUCCUCAGAUGCACUGGUGAGGGGCCAGGUCCCUGGAGGUCCCAGAGACACAAAGUCAAGGGUGGAGAAGUUCAGCCCCACACUCCCAUCCACUUUGUUGGGUUUUCUCCCUCCAGUCUGGGGGUCCCCACAAAUGCCCAAGAUGGUGAAAACAGGGUCACAUGGAUUUCCAAGAGACUCAUAUGACAUGCUGGGAGUUCCAGAUCACUGCCCUCUGCUGGCAUUAUUUGAACUCAGGGCAGUGACCAGGAUCUCUGAUGUUGCUCAGAAGAGCUCUGAUUUAUUCAAUGACUCACAAAAGUGAAAAGCAUGCAUAGUUUUGAAAUCAGAGAUACGAUGGCUCAGUGCAAGGUCCUCCAACCUUGGCACUAUUGGCAUUGGGGGCUGGAUGAUUCUUAUUUGCGGGGGGCUUCCCUGUGCAUUGUAGGAUGUUUGGUGGCAUCCCUGGCCUCCACCCAUGAGAUGCCGGUAGCCAUCCCCACAGAGCUGUGAGAAUAAAAAAUGUCUCCAGACGUUGCUGAUGGCCCCCAGCCCUUCCUUGAGAACGACUGGCCUCAUGGAAGCCACCACUAAGUCUCCCAGUGAAAACUCCAUAGUUAGGUAUCCUGGGCUCAAGACCCCUCUCUCCUGAAAAGCUCUACCUGACAACACUCCCAAGCCUCUCACAGACUCAGUUUCUUCAAGGCAAAAGUUUGGAAGCUCCCUUCCUGCCAGCGUUACUAAACCCUUAUCAGAACCAUCUGCCUUGCUGGGACAAUGCGUUGAACAGCAAACGCGGUGACGCUCUGGUUCUUAAAGAAACUGGCAGAAAGACACCAAGUGAGACAGAUACAGGACGCACAGGGGAGCUGCUUAGCCACGUGGACAGGGGCUCAGUGUGGAAUGGGCUCUGGUUCCCCCAAUAACCGGGGCCUGCAAAUUCCCUGCAAGUAUGCUGUGUAUAUCUGUCAGGAUUUAUUUCCAAGGCAGAAUGGACUCAAAACCUCCUCUUGGAGAGCAGGAAACCGGUUUGAAAAAGGACCUAAGAACAGUUGACUGCCUUGCCAGAUGUCUGCAUGGAGCCGUCUGGGCAGGUGCGAGACUGCCACCAUGGUCAAAAGACCAGUGUCCGGACCCCCCGGGGACAGCACCACCCGUGCAGCCUCUCCAAGGACCUGUGUCCAUGUCGUUCUCUGCUUUUAUUUUCUGUCUUGAUAAUCAAUGCAUGACUUCUACAGUGACUCAGAGCACACUAUACACUUAUAUUUCAGAAUUUAUGUAGUCAAUUUUGCGUACGUUCUGGCUCUUCCAUUGUGCUUCUGGCAGUAACUGUUUUCUCGCUCCAGGCGAGUCUUCAGUCAUGAUGGUUUGCAUUGCUUUGUCCUUUGUUACUUUCCCUCCUCCUCAAAAAGAAACCCAGUAAAUGCUCAAGAUUUGAUUUCAGAAGGAUGCACUGGGAGUACGUGGGUGCUAUGAUAAUUCUGGUUAUCCAGAUUUUUCAGAGAGGUCGCUUUUCCUGCUUGGAAGCUGCGGACUCUGUCCCUCUGGGUUCUCAGUACUCAGUUCAGCCACCUUCUCCUCCAUCCUUCUCACUGAGUGACCAAGGUCAGGGGCCCAUGGAGUGGGCCGGGAUGGGAGGGGUUGGAGCAGGUGAACAUAGAACAUUCAGGCUCCGACUGGUCCCUUUGGCCCCCUGAGCAGAGCUCCCUGGACCUCCCUGUCACAGCAGCUCAGCCAAACCCUAGGACUUGCUCAGGAACAGUCACUGGGCAUCUGCCAGGAAGCAGCAAAGGGGGCCAGUGGCAGCUGCAGUGAGCACAACCCACCUCGGAACCGGCGCAGGUAAUCCCGGGAAAGCCCUUUGUUUCCUACCAAAUGUACAACAUGCUGGACCACGGACUUCUGGGCCAGGUGCCCAGAAAUUUGUCAGCUCUCCACUAAUUUUCCACGUGGCCUCAGCUGCUCUCCCUGAAAAAUUAAAGGUCCCAAUUAGAUGCUCUCUAUAGCCUCUUAUCAGUCUGAGGUUCUGAAACCGACAAAUCCAUGUGCACCGCUGCCUGCCCCUUUCCUGGACUUACACUUGACUGUGGCAAUCUGGCUACAAGCUCUUGAGGACCAAACCAAACCUCAGCCCCAGCCUCUGAGGUCCCAUAUCCCAGGAUGGUCCAUCCCAGGGGGACCCUGGGGGGCAUGGAUGCAGGGUGCCUCUGGAGCUGAAGAACUGGGUCUGAACCACGGCUUCUUAGCUAUGAGCAAUCAGCCCUGGCCUCAGUGUUUUCCAAGAAAAACACGACAAUAAUUAAUGUGCAUCUCUCUGCAUCCCCAUUCCUGUCCCCAGGGGCAAUUUGAGAAGUAAAUGGGAUACAAAUAGAACAACAAAAAGCGGGGCAAAACUGGCAGCAGUGGGAACAAACAAUAACUGGUAAUAAUACUACUGCUAGUAACGAAGGCGGGUCACGCUUCUGAAGAAGGAAAGUGCCAUUUGUCUUGCAGGGCUCAGGCAGCAGUGCUGACAACAGGCAGACUGGCCAACCUUCUUCAGUCUCCAGAGACCCACCCCAGGAUACGCCAGCGUGGUCUGGCGGGCCUCCGAGACUUCCAGCUCAGCCCGGGCUGGAAAAGUGCUGCCGUCCCUCCUCCCAUCCUUUCUCCCUAGAUCCUGGGGGAUCUGAAAGUAGAAAGAAUAAUUUCUCUCUGGGGGGUGGAGUGGAGCUGGGAAUCUUAUUUGUCUCUUGACCUUGGUUUCACGGGAAAGGGGAAGGACAGCGUUGGCUCGGAGUAGAAAGGGCUGCGCCAUCAUCCUGCCUGGGUCCCUGGAGGCACAAGUCCUCUUAAGACAGGCCUGGCCACAGCAGCAUCUGGCCUCUUCUCAAAGUCCUCCAGUGGCAGCCACUCACAACCUCACAAAGCAGCAAGCUGCUCUUUUUUUUUUUUUUUUUUUUUUUUUUGAGACAGUCCGUUCUAUUGCCCAGGCUGGAGUGCAGUGGCGCGAUCUCGGCUCACUGCAGCCUCCACCUCCCGAUUCAAUCAAUUCUCCUGCCUCAGCCUCCUGAGUAGCUGGGAUUACAGGCACACGCCACUACGUCUGGUUAAUUGUUGUAUUUAUAGUAGAGAUGGGGUUUCGUCAUGUUGGCCAGUCUGGUCUCGAACUCCUGUUCCUGCCCACUUUGGCUUCCCAAAGUGCCGGGAUUAUAGGCAUGAGCCGCUGCAUGCAGCCUAAGUUGUUCUUUUGAAUCAAAAGUGUCCCACACACAAACACAGGUGAGGGACACCUAAUCGCUUGCAGAGGAGCAAUGGAGGGGCACAUAGAGGGGUGAUCACAGAAAACAUUCCAGAAAAGGCAGGACCCUUUCUCUGAGGUGCAGCUUUUAACAGGCAAGCCUCUUCUUAGCACUGAUUCAUUAAAUCUAGGUGGGCUCUGGGGUCAGGAGAAGCCAGAACAGAGGUCCCAGCUGAAGUCUGAGUCAGGGGGAUCCCUCUCCCCUGCCCUGGGGAGCCUGGGGUCACCCUGCAGAGCAGGGUGGCCCCAGGACUCUGACUGCCAGUUCCGGCUGCAGUGAGCCUUUUUCUAUGUGUGAGUGCUUCUGUUGGGCUCCUGGGUGUUGGCCAGGUUGGGGGGGGUCCCCUUCUGUUUGCAUCCCAAGAAAACCGGUCUCUGGGAACUUCACUGGGGCCUUCCAAGGAGACUUGAGUUGAACCUUAAAGAAGGGGCAGGCCUCAGGGACCAGCACCCCUGAAGUCCGGGCAGAGAGAGCACUGGGCGGGACGUUGAGCGUGUUCCACUCUGACGACGGUCAGGAACCUGUGGAAGCCAGAGCUGGCCCAGGUCACACCAUGAUGUGGCAUCCUGAGAAACAGAUUCUGUAGAUUCAAGCCCUGGUGUAAAUGUGCCCUGGAGGUGCCACCCAGUCGCAGAAGGCAGUACGGUGUGGCAGAAGGAGCCUGGUUUUAGAGCCCAACUUCUCAGGUUCAAAUCCUAGCGUGUCACUUUCAUGCUUGUAAGCUCAGGAAGGUGACUUCACUCCUCUGAGCCUCUAGUUCCUUACCUGUGCACUGGGACAAUGAUGCUGUGUGGUGAUGGUAAGGAGUUCAUGUGCACGCAAGUCCGGUGGCACCCGGACACAGUACUUGAGCAGUGAGGACCGGCAUCUUUUUCCCCUUCCGAACUGCUAAGAUGGACUCCCGCUGAGGCAGGAGGGAGAGCGCAGCUCACUCUGGCUGGAAAUCCAUCCUUUGCUCCUUAAUCAGACACUAAUGGGCAUAUCUAUCCUCACUGUUAUUUGAGAGAUGGUGGUAAGAAGUUGAUAAAGAAACCAUAGGAGACCAAGACGGAGCAACCCCGAGGAAGUCACUCAUCUGUGCAACGCAAAGUGGACGAGUCUCCAAUACCCUGAAUCAUCUACUGCUCUGACGCUGAAGAUGGGGAGAGGCUUGAAUACUGAAUGUAACUGACAUUUAGGUCAGGGGUGGGG